AUAUUACAUUUGUGGUAAAUAAUACAAACUGUAAGCUAAGUAACUAAUGAUACCAGAGUUUUCUCCCAGCUUCAGAAUUUAGUUGGUCUGUCUCACAAUGGACAAAAAUAAGACUUCUAGAGGUAAGACAGUAAGUUGAAAGGCUUUAUGUUUUAUUAAUUCACUUUUGCUGAAGGGGAGCAUUAUGGAAUUUCUGUCAGGGUGGUUUGUCCUUAAAACGCUUUUGCGCCGAGUGGAGGUCGUGUUGGGAGACGGAUGCUCAGCUCAGUGACUGUGUGUGGUCACAUCCCAGGUGAAACCUAAACCGGGCAGGCACCAGAGCCACCAGGCACUCACCUGGAGAAAGUCAGUGCUUCUCUCUGCUGCAUUGUUAUCACGUACGGUUUCUGCCUUUCAUAGGCCCGUGCAGUGUAUGAGUCUGGAAUUUGGGACCAAGAAAGAUCUAAGAAAUGAUUCGAUUCCACUUUGACUCCCAGCUGCAUUUGCGUGUUCUGGGAACAGGUUUUCUGUCUACCGGAGCUGGACGUGUUUGAUGGUGAGCACACGACAGCUCCUGGUCACAGAGGGGAAAGGCCGGCCUCUGACAGCCAGUCUUGUUAAACGACAGAACCCACUUUAUUUUAGAAGAUGAUGCCCAGUUUUGUUUUGUUCAUUAUAAACGAACAAAACAAAAUAUAUUCGGUUUUCACCAGUUACUCCCUGGGCCUCCCCGUCCGCAGUCCACGCUCAGGUUGCUGACGUCACUGGUACAGGGUCCCUCUGCUUUUUUAGAGCCCUCCGGUGUUUAUUUGUGGUCCACCAACCCAGAGGACAGAAUCCCCACUUGUCAGAAAUGAAAUGAAAAAUGCAGAGUGUGUCUUUGCUGAGUAAUGGAGCCCGGCCGCUCUCCACGCACAGCCCGCGGCCGCCCGGGACCCCCGCUGCUCAUUUAAAUAGGUAUGUCAAAUCUGCCUCCCAAGGCCGCCGGUUUGAUCUGUGGUAAUAUUUGUGAAGGUUCCAUAUGGACUCGAGCCCCCUGCAGUGCUGAGAAAUAAUGUACAACGCUUCAUGGUGCAGACGCACAUUUCCCCUGGAAAGGGGUGCAGCGCUGCGUUUAGCUGUCGGAGCGGAUGAUGGAGCGAGGCGCUGGGCCUGUCAGCUUGUUACACGGAUGGGCUGCACGCAGCGAAGCUGUGAAAAUCUGUGCCUUUUAACUUUUCUACUUAAUCACGGUUGUAGCAUUGCCUUUAGACUGUAUGCUACAUUAAUUCUCUUCCUGCCUUCUGCCUUUCAUCCCAAGUUUCACGGAAGAAAGUAAAGCAUGCGGGUCUUGUAGAGGGGCCUUAUCAAACAGCUGUCAUCUGACAAGCCAUUUGCAUUUGUUUGGGCUGAAACUGAGCAACCCCAGGGCAAGGUACUUUGUGGCAUUCCAUCAUCAUGCACAAAUUACACAUGGUAUAAGAGCCCUAACUUCGUUUUUAGUGAGUAUGUUUUAAAAGGUAGUGCUUGAGAAACUCAUCGGAUUCUCGGUGGAUAAAAGACUACCCCACUCGGAUGGAAACGUUCCAUUACAUCCAGCUAAUAAACAGUCUUCCUUUCUGAGUCAUAGUUCUGUUGCAUAUAAGAGAAUUCUUCAGGCUUCUGUGUUUUAGUUAAAUCCAGUCAUUUAGGUUGGGCUGUUGUAUAUUUUGACCCCUAAACACUGUGGGUUUGGUAUUUUGUUGCUCAGCAGAAGAGUUUACACAUAUGAAUUACAGAUAUUUUGGCUUAACUUGAGCCUAUUAAUUCAGAUAAUAAAACCUCGUGUUUUCAAAAAUAUGUUUUGUGGUGCAGGUCAUAGCUCAGUGGCAGUGCUCAGCAUGCACAAGGCCCUGGGUUAUAUCCCCAGUACCUCCAUUAACCAGAAAGUUUUUUAAACUCAUUUUUUGGAAUUUUAAUUAUAGGUAUGUAUAAAAGGGCAAAUGUUUUUCUAAAUCUAUGCUGAUCACUUGGGCAUCUGAAUGGCAAAUGUUACUGAUCACAGCUGUGGUCACUGCAGUCUCGUUUCCUGGAUAAGGCAAGUCAGCGUCAUGCUGGGGACAGUCUGACUGUGGAGCAGUGUGUGGCUCCGUAUUCACUGUUGGGCUUACAGUGGUUUUGUGGUGAAGUCAGGCGUUGCAUAUAAAAUAAGGCGGUAAAACUGAAACUGCUCCACAUUUGCUCCUCCUUUGUCUUGCCACUUCCUGGUCGGGGGGUGGGGGUGCCCGCUCAGUCUGUGGGAGGGGGUCCCCCUGCUGCAGCAUGGUGGGGACGGCCCCCCGGAGACUGGCAGGUGGGCGGGAAGUGAAUUGUGUGCUGCCAUUUCUUUCUGUGGGUGUAAUUUCUUCCCCUGUGACAGAGGGAAGGACGCUAAGCCCAAGUCUGUUUCUCCCAUGUCCUGGGCCUGCUGUACUUGUGAGAGACGUGGCUGUCAUCCGCCAGGCUGUUAGACAGAAAAGCACGGAUCUUGAGCAUGUGUGCAGUGGUUCAGGAGACCUUUCUGAUGUCCAUUAACCUUUUUAUCUCCUGUAAUCAUGUCAAAGCUCUUUUUAGCGUUUGGCCGCUGUUUGCAGGUUGUAUGUUACAUGACAUGUAACAGAGGGUGAGUGUGGUACGGCUCACAGCCAGGCCUGUGCGCCAGCCUUGGUGGACGCUCUUCCCAGUGCUGGUGAUUAGUCCCUCCCGUUUUGGUGGAGGUUGGGGUGGGGCUAAGGGAAGAGGAGCGUGAGAAGGAGGAAGCAGUUUGUUGUUCCUGCCCAGGAAUGAAGCCUGACAGGAAAGUGGAAAGUGAAGGAAAGUCCGCCGACCCAAGCGGGUCUCGGACCUUGUGAGUGUCACGUCCCAGAGGCUCCUUCCCAGGUUAGUUGGACGCCCGCUCCCCGCGGGCACAGCCGUGCACGAGUUUCCUGGGAAAGUCGAUAAAACCCAUUUAUUUUACAAGAUAGCGGAUGGGAUGCACGUAUGUAGUAGUGACACGUGACAGAGGACUCACAGGUUAGUCCUCAGUGGUGAGUAGUCUAGGCAGAAGGAGUAAGCCUUACGGAGUUUCUCAAAGGGGCUUGAGGACUGAGAAGGCUCCGUGCUGGACGGUACCGCUCACCCGUCUUUUUACGCCCACACUGGGUGGCACUCCCACCCCAGACAGCCACAGAACCAGAGCUGUGUGCUCCUCGGACGUGGGUAGAAUUUCAGGUCAGGGUUUUCAGGAGCAGAAUGAAGAAAGAGAAUGAAAGUGUCCUGAAACAGAUGAGCGGAAGUGUAAAGGAGAGGGAAGAAUUUGUAAGAGGACGGUCACAUGUGUCUGCGGUGAAGCAAGUGCUGUUCCAUGGGAGAGCUGAUCUGGGGGAGCUCGCGCCUGGGUGCGGGAGGAGACCUGCCCGCGUGGCUGAGGGACGGGCUGGCGGGGGUGCCCUGGGGGUCCCAGCCGGCCCCGGCACCCUGUCUCCGCAGUGGGAGCUGCGCACGCAGCCCGGCGAGUGGGCAGAGGUUCCCAGCCUGGGUGCAUGGUGGGCCAUACACGGGUCUCCCAUUGUAUGACAUGUGUCAGCUCCAUUCACGCUCUGUUAUAACAUACAUUUCUGACAGUUUUGAAACGCACUUACUAAAAGUGAAUUGAAAACAAUUAAAAACUCUUUGUGGGAGGUGACUGACUCUGAAGUGGAAACCCUUCUGUGAAAUACUGUUGAUUAAGACAGGGCACGGCUAUAAUGUAGUAGCCUUUCCCAAAGUGCUUUUGGAGGAACCCAGGUUAUAAAAUCUUCAAGAAAGGGUCUGAAAUGAAGUUCGUUUGGGAAUGCUGCAUCUGGUGUGCAGGGAGAUCUCAGCACGUAGCACGCACCGUGCAGCCCUGCGGCCAGGAAACUUGUUAACUCCCCGCUCAGAGGUGUCGGUCACGGAACCCUUUCUGCCCAGGGCACCUUUUAACAGCCCCUGGAACCAGAGCUCAGGAAAGGCGGUGUGAAAUACUGAAGACACCGCAAGUCGCCAAGUGCACGAUGCAUGUAUUGAAAUUUCACAUCGGCUCCCCCGCCCGGUCUUCACGACAGGGUCCUAAGUGCUCCACGGGGUUCAGUGUCUCUUAGAGCCCCACUUGUAUUAUAAUAGGACUAGUUUUACAGUAAGCUUUGGAGUAUUUUCAGACUAUUUCUAUAAAUUGAAGGAAUUACUUGGCCGCAGGUGAAAUUUUUAGCCUAAAAGGUAUAAAAUUAAGGAAUAAGUAAAUCAUUAUAUACUUAAACAUGCCACUGAAUUGUUUGAAAGUUUAAAAUAUGAAAGAAAAGUAAAUGAUUUGAAUGCUAGUGUAUAAACAGGAUUCAUUUACCUCUUGGAGGAAGCCCCUGGCUUACUUAGAAGUCCUCCAGUGUGUUUUACAUGACUUGAGUACCUUCUGUGUUCCUGGGGUGUGAGAACCAAACAGCGGCCCCGGGGCAGGGGGUAGGGGGGGCGCCGCUCACUGCGCGCCGGGUCCAGACUCGGAAAGCGAGAAGUCUUCUUACUUCGUCCACUUUGUCACCUUGGGGUGAAUAUUUAAAACUUUUUAAGCAGUGUUCUCUAAAAGUGGAAUUAAAGUAGCGACCCUUCCCACCAUGAGGUGUUAGGACAUACAGCGAGGCGGAGUGCCUGUUUUCCAAAGGCGAGGACCGAUGCUGACACGUGUGCUGUGCUGUGCUGUGCGUGGUUUUGAGACCUUUUCUGACAGCAGGAGUUAGCUCAGUAGUUAAUUCAGCAGUAGAAACUGCUGUUCUAGAAUUAUCCUUAAUACACGUUUUCCUCAUAUGUGAAUAAUUACCCUUGUAUAUCUUGUCCUAAGUAUAACACUUAGGAAAUUUAAUUUUUAAUACCUGAAUUAGCUUAUUGCCUGGGCUGAUUUUCAUCAGAUAACUUCUAUUUUAGUGAUAUAAUUGUUUUUAUAAUAUAUGAUGGAGCUUUAAAAUAUACGGUAUCUGAGUCACAAGCACUUGUAUGUAAAUUACUCCUGGGCGUGUACCUUCCCAGAGUACUUGUCUGUGUGCCCUGUUAUGUUGGACAGCAUUACCUGAAGUACAGACUACAGAGCACAUGGUAUUUACAGAGUGACAGCCCGCGUCUGCAGUAGGGGUGUGUCCCUUGGAACUUUAGAUAAAUAGUGUGAUAAAAACCGUGAUAGAGAGUUAUAAAUAUGUAACAUUCAGUUUUGUCUAUGCCAGUAGCUGAAAAGUUGAGAAGAUUGUUAUUUAGGAAAUUUAGUUUCUGUGAUUUUUUUUUAACAAACAUAUAUUAAGUCACUAUUCUGUGUUGAACUCGUAUCUAAGAUGAUAAUUACUGUCAGUUUGUUACUGUAUGUUUUGUUUAUCAAAAUCAGGUGGCUUUUUCCAUACCUCCCCUCUAAGAAAUGUUUUUUGUUUUUACCCUUCCUAAUGUCAGGAUCUCUGUGUGAGGAGAGUAACCAGGACAGAUUUUGGAAGACUAAAACCAGAUUUUUAGACUAAAAAUCCUGCUGCUCAUGCUCUUGAAAGAGUUUAGUUUAAGCAUUUCUUUUCUACAACCUGAGCAUCUGGUAUUUUCAAAUUAGGCACCUUCUAAAUUUGACUCAUACAUUAUGGAAAUCUGAUGGCACGAGGGGUGGAUAGACUUGCUUUGAUUUUAUGAAAUAUUAAUUAUAGCUGUGAUUAAUGAUUCAGCAUUUCACAUCUGGGUUAUUCCUGUCAUAUUUGAAAAUUACACUGUUAAAUACAGUAAUAUAAACUUAGUGUGGGUGGGGUCAUGCUAAUUCUCUGGUGUCCCUUAAAAAUUAAGUGGGAAUUUAACAAUAUACCAGAAGCUAGCACCGAUCAUCUGUGAUGUUGACAGUUCCUGGCAUAUUUUCUCCCCUCAAGGAUUUUUUUGAUGUAAAUUAGUACAGUCUCUUCAGGGAGUUGAAGAUAUAGAAAGUACUUUCCAGAGGACUGUUGUCUCCAGCUAACCAAGAUAGACGCUCAGGAGUGCUUUUAUCAUCCAGCAGAAAAAGAAAAAUGGCCGUGGUGCCCCAGUGAAACCAUUUGGGUUAUUUGACUCCAGAAUGCCGUCCUUUACCCCGUAUCGUUCCUUGACCAUCACUGGCGGUCAAACACCGCGCUGAGUACUUACAUGUAUUUCCUAUUUGAAGAAGUGUGUGAGGGGCUUACCCAGCCUUGCAUCACUUGAGGGGUUCCACCGUCAGUAAAGGCAUAGAACCCAGCAUAUUUGAGAUUAGACGUGCAGUCUCCAUGGGUGGUCAUCUCACAUCCCACAGCUUUCUGACGAUGUUACUUACACUGUUUUUACGCUGUUACAGCGCUAAGUACAACACACAAAGACAGCAGCGUAGUGAAAAAUUUCCAAGAAAAACGUGGACUUUAAGUUAAAAUUGCUCCAAAGCCACUGGAAAAUGAUGACAAAUUUAGCAGCCCGGACGUUGACCUGAAACUUACCUGUGAAUCAGGUCAGUUACUGUUAUUUUAGUUGCCUUGAUUAUUUCAGAAAGGAAUUAAUAGACCCUCCUAAGCUGGGUAGGGUAUCUUACUACUGUUGUUGGUGUCCUCUUGCAUUCCUAUAUUUUUAGCAGGUUUAAAAGAUGCACAUCUCUGACUUGUAACUGUGGGAAGCUCGAGACUCUGGAGCCUGGAGACAGAGACCCUCCUCCGGCCGCAGUCCUGGCUGGAGCGGGCGCCCGGGGUCGGCCUGCCAGGCAGUGCGCAGGGGUAUGCUAUCUGCACGCGUCCGUCCACUUCAUACAAGUGGGGGAGGACUCACUUUGUGUUAGGUUUUUUUCCUCUGUUUUACCUGUUCAGAGCACUUGAGAAUUGCUCUCUAGAAACAGGUUCAUAGAAAUGUUUCUGAUACACUGUGCAGUUGGGGUUGCCACCCACCCUCUUGGCCUUUAAAUGUAAAUUUAAAGUUCCCUAGCCACGGUCAAAUAGGAUUACCAAUUCUUGGGAGAUAACAGUACUUAAAGUUGAGUAGCAGGUGCGUGUUCUCAGUGCAGAUGGUCCAUGCUGGUUCUUGCUCUCUUCAUGUAGACGGUUUGGUUUCAGUUGUCGGACACAUGCUUCUGCACAGGUGGCUGGUUUGUACGUUGAACGGAGUUGCAGAGAAAGUUAGCGUGGACUCUGGAACUGAAUCAGCUCAAUUCGUCCCGUGGCUCCCGUGUUAGAUCCAGGCCUUAGAGUGCAGCGCUCGGGGAGUCGUUGAAGCGGAUCACUGGGCCCCACCCCAGCGGUUCCGACUCAGAAAGCCUGGGCUGGAGCCUGGGGCGUUGCGGUUCUGACCUGGGUCCUGGCGGAGCUGCUGCUGCUUCCCCGCCCACUGCGAGCUGAGCUUGCGGCCCCUGGCCUCGGGAGCGACUUUCACCCCGGCAGAGAUGUUCUGAGGGCUGCUGCCUCUCAUUGUCCCUGCUGCUCAGUUAGCAGUUCUACUACCGUUAUUGAAAACAAGCAAAACAAAACACGCUGCUCCGAGUGCCCCAGCCCCAGGAGGUGAACUUUUACGUCUUCAUUUCACCAAGAAGUCCUGGUCCGUGGAGCCUCAUCUCAGCUCUUCUCACCUGUUUCUGUGUUUAUGAAAUGCAAAGCCGCAAUCUUUACAUCCUUUUUGCUUUCUCUUUCUUUCUUCCUUUUUUUUUUUUUUAAACAUUCUUUUUACCCAGAUUCUGGUAAAGAGGAUUCCUGUAAAGAGGCUGCAGAGUGAAGAUGAUAAUAAAAUGCAAGCUCUGGUCAGUGCCCAGGCGGGAGAAGGGGCCACCCCUUCUGUUCUCAGUGACAGGGCGGCCUGAUCAGCGCCCACAAGAGGCUGUCCCCCCAAACUGGGAGUUAUUAAGACUGUUUGAAAUAGGGGAAGAUGCUGUCAGUAACAAAUUGUGUCUUCUUAUCCAAGUUAAUGAUAUUGGACAGUCGUGAUUUAGCAAGAAAAAAUGUCACCUGUAUCACUGCUAGCACGUCCUUUGAACAUGUCUGUUCCUAGUAUUAGUGUGGCAGGUUAUAUGUAAACUA